UACAGAGGGUGCAAGCGUUAAUCGGAAUUACUGGGCGUAAAGCGUGCGUAGACGGUUAUGUAAGUCAGAUGUGAAAGCCCCGGGCUUAACCUGGGAAUGGCAUUUGAGACUGCAUAGCUAGGAUGCGGAAGAGGGCAGUGGAAUUUCCGGUGUAGCGGUGAAAUGCGUAGAUAUCGGAAGGAACAUCAGUGGCGAAAGCGACUGCCUGGUCCAGCAUCGACGUUCAGGCACGAAAGCGUGGGGAGCAAACAGG
rnacentral:rRNA from 1 species